rnacentral:rRNA from 3 species
ACGACUCUCGGCAACGGAUAUCUCGGCUCUCGCAUCGAUGAAGAACGUAGCAAAAUGCGAUACUUGGUGUGAAUUGCAGAAUCCCGUGAAUCAUCGAGUUUUUGAACGCAAGUUGCGCCUGAAGCCACUAGGCCGAAGGCACGUCUGCCUGGGCGUCUCGC